rnacentral:rRNA from 1 species
GAUGAACGCUGGCGGCGUGCCUAAUACAUGCAAGUCGAGCGAACAGAUAAGGAGCUUGCUCCUUUGACGUUAGCGGCGGACGGGUGAGUAACACGUGGGUAACCUACCUAUAAGACUGGGAUAACUUCGGGAAACCGGAGCUAAUACCGGAUAAUAUUUCGAACCGCAUGGUUCGAUAGUGAAAGAUGGUUUUGCUAUCACUUAUAGAUGGACCCGCGCCGUAUUAGCUAGUUGGUAAGGUAACGGCUUACCAAGGCGACGAUACGUAGCCGACCUGAGAGGGUGAUCGGCCACACUGGAACUGAGACACGGUCCAGACUCCUACGGGAGGCAGCAGUAGGGAAUCUUCCGCAAUGGGCGAAAGCCUGACGGAGCAACGCCGCGUGAGUGAUGAAGGUCUUCGGAUCGUAAAACUCUGUUAUUAGGGAAGAACAUACGUGUAAGUAACUGUGCACGUCUUGACGGUACCCAAUCAGAAAGCCACGGCUAACUACGUG